GUCAACUACCUCGGCCUAAAGGCCGAGGCUUGAAAAAGCCUCUAGUUGACUAGCCUCAGGCCGUCGUUUGGCGGACUACGUUGGUUGGGAAUGUACAGGCAGUGCGCCAGUUCGGCGCU
rnacentral:sRNA from 1 species